rnacentral:rRNA from 1 species
UGUUUGAAUUCCGGCUCAGGACGAACGCUGGCGGCGUGCUUAACACAUGCAAGUCGAACGAUGAAGCCCUUCGGGGUGGAUUAGUGGCGAACGGGUGAGUAACACGUGGGCAAUCUGCCCUUCACUCUGGGACAAGCCCUGGAAACGGGGUCUAAUACCGGAUAACACUCUGUCCCGCAUGGGACGGGGUUGAAAGCUCCGGCGGUGAAGGAUGAGCCCGCGGCCUAUCAGCUUGUUGGUGGGGUAAUGGCCUACCAAGGCGACGACGGGUAGCCGGCCUGAGAGGGCGACCGGCCACACUGGGACUGAGACACGGCCCAGACUCCUACGGGAGGCAGCAGUGGGGAAUAUUGCACAAUGGGCGAAAGCCUGAUGCAGCGACGCCGCGUGAGGGAUGACGGCCUUCGGGUUGUAAACCUCUUUCAGCAGGGAAGAAGCGAAAGUGACGGUACCUGCAGAAGAAGCGCCGGCUAACUACGUGCCAGCAGCCGCGGUAAUACGUAGGGCGCAAGCGUUGUCCGGAAUUAUUGGGCGUAAAGAGCUCGUAGGCGGCUUGUCACGUCGGAUGUGAAAGCCCGGGGCUUAACCCCGGGUCUGCAUUCGAUACGGGCUAGCUAGAGUGUGUAGGGAGGUUCAGUCC